GGCUCUGUGGUGCGAUGGAUAGCGCAGUGGACUUCUAAUUCAAAGAGUGUGGGUCCGAGUCCCAUCGAGUCA